CGGUAUUUAACGUUUCUUAGCAAUUUUAUUUUGUUUUUAUCGGUAGACUUGUGGUGGAGAAGAGUUUGAGUUUGUGAAAAUGAUCAAAAAUUCUAUUACAGAUCCGUAUGUUUAUCUUACUAGAUUCUGUCUUCUUCAUCAAGAAGCUGACUUUGUUUUGCAGCAUCGAUCUUGAGACCAUUCCUUUUGCAGACUAUGCCAAUGCCAUUUUUGAAAAUGAAGAGCAAGAUAAGCAAAGACUCGUUUAGAGAAAAAAGGGUUCUUGGUGUUUGUAAGAAAUUACCUCAUAAGGAUUUAAAAAAUUCAUGCUUUGAUUCCAAAAAAUCGGAGAGAAUGGAACAUUUGGUCACUGCUUCUCAGAAUUGCCACAACAAUGAGGAACAAGAUUUAGGUUUGGAUUCUUCUACUAGGGAUGUUGAAACAAACGAACCCGAAGACCUGCUAGUUGAAGACACUUCCAAUAAUGCGUCGAAUAUGGAUACAAUAUUUUCACCUGUUCUGGAUGAUGAACUGUAUUCAGAAACUGGUCGAGUAUUUGUGGAAGGAAACAAUGUGCAAUGGGAAAUGCCUAGGUGGGGAGCUGAUGAGAGCAGCAGCAACAAUCAAUCUUGCAACGAUUCUGAUUACUUUCUUUCUGAUGUGCUGAUUGCAAGCUUGCCAUUCUAUGAGAGUGGAAAUGUUGAUUUUUUCACUGAGAUAAGUCCCUUGCCUCGUUGCAUCUUUCCAGAGCCAAGUGUGUUAUUAGAUGUAGCUGAGCAGUACAUGGUAUUACCUUACUUAGAAGAUGGAUCAGCCAGCAGUGAUGAUGUUAAGUCUUAUGAGGACAGCGGGGGUAAUGUCGAUAAACAUGACUUGUUUAUGGCAUUCAACUGGUCAAGAUCACAAAACUUGGAAGCAGCAGAUGCUCACGCUGAAGCUGAACAAACUGAAGAUUUUGAUCCACAGCUUUUCUUAAGAAAUCAACCGGAGUUAGCUGAUGUGGUAUCCAAUUAUUUCCCUGAUAUGCAGCAGCCUAGGGAAUCCCCGAAAAGGAAGGCGGUAACCCUUGUUCUUGAUUUGGAUGAAACUCUGGUCCAUUCGACUCUGGGAGCCUGCAGAGAUACAGACUUUUCCUUCAGAGUCACUUUCAAUAUGCAAGAGAACACUGUUUACGUGAAACAAAGGCCACACCUUUAUAGGUUCUUAGAGAGGGUCAUUGAACUUUUUCAUGUUGUCAUCUUCACGGCUAGUCACAGCAAUUAUGCGUCUCAACUUCUAGAUAUAUUGGAUCCAGAUGGGAAGUUUGUAUCGCAACGUUUUUACCGGGAUUCAUGCAUUCUUUCAGAUGGGAUUUAUACCAAGGAUUUAACUGUUUUGGGUCUUGAUCUAGCAAAAAUGGCUAUAAUUGACAACUGUCCACAGGUGUACAGAUUGCAAAUAAACAAUGGGAUCCCUAUCAAAAGUUGGUACGAUGAUCCAACUGAUGAUGGUCUGAUUACAUUACUUCCCUUCUUAGAGACAUUGGCUGAUGCCAACGAUGUUCGUCCUGUCAUCGCCAAGAGAUUCGGUAACAAGGAAUAAGAAAUCUCUUCCUUUUGUUUCCUCUAUACCUUGAGUGCAGAUUCUGGAUUUCUUUUACAGAUUUAGUCAUAGACUAGUUUAGUUCCUCAAGACUUGUUAGGUGCUAUUUAAUUAGUUAACCAUAGAAUAAUGCUCGGUGAUGUUAGUACACAAGUAAGCGGAACCCUUGUCUUAGCCAGGAUAAGAAUAGAUCAUUGGAAUCUUAACACUCUGUUCUAAAUGUACAGUUGGUGAAGCUGAGAUACUGAAUGUAUAAAAGUGAGUAUUUUUUGAGUGAAAUAUCAGUUUUGGAGGUUAACAACAGCCUUUAUCUCCUUGUGGUAAAUCCAAACUGUUGGUUAGAUCUUUGUACUCUGCAUUGUCAAUAAUAUAAAUGAAGAGAGGUAUCUCGAACCUUGUUUUCGUGAAUUUAUCGAAUUUUCUAGCUUCUGUGGUCUUUCAGAAAGGAGGAAUAUCGUCAUCAUCGGGGGACUGGAUCUGGUGGUUCCAUGAUCAUUCAACAAGUUAUUUUGAUUAGGCGUAAGGAAGUGACCUGACUUUGUUCUGCUCUGUGUUAACAUGUCUCUUUCAGAGUUGUCUAAUGGUCCAAAGCUCCCUGACAAACUUGCCAAUAUGUAAAUCUAUAGAAUGUUUAACUUGUUUUCAUUAAAAUUUGUUGGUCAUAUUUUGUUGUUAGUAGGUAAAUAAACCAAAACAGUCAAGAGGAAUCUUAUUUCUUAACGUUGUUUCUUAUGAACCAAAAAGGUCAUUGAUUUCUUACAUAA